UUAAUUUUCUGCUUGAGUCUUGUGCUAAAGGAGAUUCAUGACAUAUUUAUCAAUCAUCACUUCCACAUCCGCCUCGUGAGUUACGACACUGAACCCGUUAAACUCCAUGGUCUGUCUCAUUAUUGAAAAAUCUAUGCAGUCACAAUCAGUUUAUCUUUUAUAUUAUUUUCUGAGUUAUAAACUUCCUAAGAAGUAGUGGAAAGUUAUGUUGUAACUUGAUUUACUCACCCGUAAGUAUAUAUCCUCUGAGCAGUGGCGGAGCUAGCUAAUAGUGAGGGGUUCAUCCCCUUCGGCGGAAAAUUAUACUAUUUAUACAAGCUUAAAAUUAUUUUUCAUGUAUAUAUAGCAAACGUUGAAUAACCCUCUUCGAUUAGUUCUUUUGUUCACAUUUUUCAAUUUUGAACCUCCUUAGUUAUGAUGUUGGCUCUGCCACUGCCUCUGAGACACAUGUUUUUCCCUUAAACUGUUGCUGGUGUAGGUAAAUAUUUUUCUGGCUAAGUUCUUGUUGCUAUGUGGAACUAUCUCUAGUUUCUGUAAUUAUUUAGCCUUUGAACAGGAAUUUAUUCAUAUUUUCUUUCGGUUUAACCAUCCAGCAACUAUCUGGUACCUACUGGCGCAACUAAUUCAGAUUCGCCUCCCGUAGAGUCUAUCAUUAAAGGGAGAAGUGUUUUCUAUCAGAAAUUCUCCAUUUCCAGGUAUCAAACGCGAGACUUUUAAUCGAUGAUGGAGAGAUCACAUUCAUUUGCGACAUAGCCCACAUGUAUCUUACACUUUGUGGAUUUAAAGGAAAUUCAUUUUACAACAAUAGUGAUUUGAAGGAAAUCCCCAGCAUGUAUAUAUAUGUGUUUCCUGAUACGAGCCAAAUGACCACCAUAGCUUCUGAUGACAUCUUUAGAAGCCAAUACAUGAAGAAUCACGCUUUGGUCGCAUUGAGGGCACAAGAACAUACAUGGAGGGGCAGAUUUGAGCGCACCAUAGAGCAAUCUUGUGUGUGAAAGGUUGCUUGGGAGCAUUGAAGACGUGAAGACUCACGGUUUUGGGUACCUUUCAUUAAGGGUGUUUUAGGGACUACACUU
rnacentral:lncRNA from 1 species